AUAAAUCCAGUGUCUGAGUAUGACUAGAACAUGUUGUGAUGAUGACUAGCAUGGCCAUCAGGUGAAGGAUUGUCAGUGGAAGUCCAAGGUAGCAUAGGCAUCGCUACUGCGGCAGAACGCCACUAGGAUGGCGAAAGGAAUGGGAGUAGAAUUGAUCUUGCACCGAUUAGAGAAAGAAUGUAUUGGAGGUGAUUUUAUCAGAG
rnacentral:lncRNA from 1 species